CAAAUUUGAAAUCUGGCCUCGGCCCGAGUUGUAAUUUGUAGAGGAAGCUUUUGGCACGGCACCUGCUGAGUCCCCUGGAACGGGGCGCCAUAGAGGGUGAGAGCCCCGUAUAGCAGGACGCCUAGCCUCUGUAAAGCUCCUUCGACGAGUCGAGUAGUUUGGGAAUGCUGCUCAAAAUGGGAGGUAAAUUUCUUCUAAAGCUAAAUACCGGCCAGAGACCGAUAGCGCACAAGUAGAGUGAUCGAAAGAUGAAAAGCACUUUGAAAAGAGGGUUAAAUAGCACGUGAAAUUGUUGAAAGGGAAGCGCUUGUGACCAGACUCGCGCCGGGCUGAUCAUCCGAGCUUCUGCUCGGUGCACUCUGCCCGGCUCGGGCCAGCAUCGGUUCUUGCGGGGGGAUAAAGGCCCUGGGCUGAUG
rnacentral:rRNA from 1 species